UGAAAUCUGGCCCUCGGGUCCGAGUUGUAAUUUGCAGAGGAUGCUUUUGGCGCGGUGCCUUCCGAGUUCCCUGGAACGGGACGCCAUAGAGGGUGAGAGCCCCGUCUGGUCGGACACCAAGCCUAUGUAAAGCUCCUUCGACGAGUCGAGUAGUUUGGGAAUGCUGCUCUAAAUGGGAGGUAUAUGUCUUCUAAAGCUAAAUAUUGGCCAGAGACCGAUAGCGCACAAGUAGAGUGAUCGAAAGAUGAAAAGCACUUUGAAAAGAGAGUUAAACAGUACGUGAAAUUGUUGAAAGGGAAGCGCUUAUGACCAGACUUGGGCCUGUUGGAUCAACUUGGGUUCUCCCGGGUGCACUCCCUCAGGUUCAGGCCAGCAUCAGUUCGGCGCGGGGGAUAAAGGUUUCGGGAACGUGGCUCCCCUCGGGGAGUGUU
rnacentral:rRNA from 1 species